UCAAUUGCCCUGCUCCCUGUAACAGUUUCCUUUCUCUUUGCAAUGUUUUGAUGCCAGAGCUGACUGAUGGGUGCACAUGGUUCCUUCGAAUGUUCUUCCUUUGAAAAAAUAAACUAGCUGACUGAUGGGUGCACAUGGUUCCUUCGAAUGUUCUUCCUUUGAAAAAAUAAACUGAGUAUAACUGCGUGUCAAUUGCCCUGCUCCCUGUAACAGUUUCCUUUCUCUUUGCAAUGUUUUGAUGCCAGAGCUGACUGAUGGGUGCACAUGGUUCCUUCGAAUGUUCUUCCUUUGAAAAAAUAAACUAGCUGACUGAUGGGUGCACAUAGUUCCUUCAAAUGUUCUUCUUUUGAAAAAAUAAACGGUGAGUAUAACUGCACGUCAAUUGCACUGCUCCCUGUAACAGUUUCCUUUCUCUUUGCAAUGUUUUGAUGCCAGAGCUGACUGAUGGGUGCACAUAGUUCCUUCAAAUGUUCUUCUUUUGAAAAAAUAAACUGAGUAUAACUGCGUGUCAAUUGCCCUGCUCCCUGUAACAGUUUCCUUUCUCUUUGCAAUGUUUUGAUGCCAGAGCUGACUGAUGGGUGCACAUAGUUCCUUCAAAUGUUCUUCUUUUGAAAAAAUAAACGGUGAGUAUAACUGCACGUCAAUUACACUGCUCCCUGUAACAGUUUCCUUUCUCUUUGCAAUGUUUUGAUGCCAGAGCUGACUGAUGGGUGCACAUAGUUCCUUCGAAUGUUCUUCCUUUGAAAAAAUAAACUGAGUAUAACUGCGUGUCAAUUGCCCUGCUCCCUGUAACAGUUUCCUUUCUCUUUGCAAUGUUUUGAUGCCAGAGCUGACUGAUGGGUGCACAUAGUUCCUUCAAAUGUUCUUCUUUUGAAAAAAUAAACGGUGAGUAUAACUGCACGUCAAUUGCACUGCUCCCUGUAACAGUUUCCUUUCUCUUUGCAAUGUUUUGAUGCCAGAGCUGACUGAUGGGUGCACAUAGUUCCUUCGAAUGUUCUUCCUUUGAAAAAAUAAACUGAGUAUAACUGCGUGUCAAUUGCCCUGCUCCCUGUAACAGUUUCCUUUCUCUUUGCAAUGUUUUGAUGCCAGAGCUGACUGAUGGGUGCACAUAGUUCCUUCAAAUGUUCUUCUUUUGAAAAAAUAAACGGUGAGUAUAACUGCACGUCAAUUGCACUGCUCCCUGUAACAGUUUCCUUUCUCUUUGCAAUGUUUUGAUGCCAGAGCUGACUGAUGGGUGCACAUAGUUCCUUCAAAUGUUCUUCUUUUGAAAAAAUAAACGGUGAGUAUAACUGCACGUCAAUUGCACUGCUCCCUGUAACAGUUUCCUUUCUCUUUGCAAUGUUUUGAUGCCAGAGCUGACUGAUGGGUGCACAUAGUUCCUUCAAAUGUUCUUCUUUUGAAAAAAUAAACGAGCUGACUGAUGGGUGCACAUGGUUCCUUCGAAUGUUCUUCCUUUGAAAAAAAUAAACUAGCUGACUGAUGGGUGCACAUAGUUCCUUCAAAUGUUCUUCUUUUGAAAAAAUAAACGGUGAGUAUAACUGCACGUCAAUUGCACUGCUCCCUGUAACAGUUUCCUUUCUCUUUGCAAUGUUUUGAUGCCAGAGCUGACUGAUGGGUGCACAUAGUUCCUUCAAAUGUUCUUCUUUUGAAAAAAUAAACGGUGAGUAUAACUGCACGUCAAUUGCACUGCUCCCUGUAACAGUUUCCUUUCUCUUUGCAAUGUUUUGAUGCCAGAGCUGACUGAUGGGUGCACAUAGUUCCUUCAAAUGUUCUUCUUUUGAAAAAAUAAACUGAGUAUAACUGCGUGUCAAUUGCCCUGCUCCCUGUAACAGUUUCCUUUCUCUUUGCAAUGUUUUGAUGCCAGAGCUGACUGAUGGGUGCACAUAGUUCCUUCAAAUGUUCUUCUUUUGAAAAAAUAAACGGUGAGUAUAACUGCACGUCAAUUACACUGCUCCCUGUAACAGUUUCCUUUCUCUUUGCAAUGUUUUGAUGCCAGAGCUGACUGAUGGGUGCACAUAGUUCCUUCGAAUGUUCUUCCUUUGAAAAAAUAAACUGAGUAUAACUGCGUGUCAAUUGCCCUGCUCCCUGUAACAGUUUCCUUUCUCUUUGCAAUGUUUUGAUGCCAGAGCUGACUGAUGGGUGCACAUAGUUCCUUCAAAUGUUCUUCUUUUGAAAAAAUAAACGGUGAGUAUAACUGCACGUCAAUUGCACUGCUCCCUGUAACAGUUUCCUUUCUCUUUGCAAUGUUUUGAUGCCAGAGCUGACUGAUGGGUGCACAUAGUUCCUUCGAAUGUUCUUCCUUUGAAAAAAUAAACUGAGUAUAACUGCGUGUCAAUUGCCCUGCUCCCUGUAACAGUUUCCUUUCUCUUUGCAAUGUUUUGAUGCCAGAGCUGACUGAUGGGUGCACAUAGUUCCUUCAAAUGUUCUUCUUUUGAAAAAAUAAACGGUGAGUAUAACUGCACGUCAAUUGCACUGCUCCCUGUAACAGUUUCCUUUCUCUUUGCAAUGUUUUGAUGCCAGAGCUGACUGAUGGGUGCACAUAGUUCCUUCAAAUGUUCUUCUUUUGAAAAAAUAAACGGUGAGUAUAACUGCACGUCAAUUGCACUGCUCCCUGUAACAGUUUCCUUUCUCUUUGCAAUGUUUUGAUGCCAGAGCUGACUGAUGGGUGCACAUAGUUCCUUCAAAUGUUCUUCUUUUGAAAAAAUAAACGAGCUGACUGAUGGGUGCACAUGGUUCCUUCGAAUGUUCUUCCUUUGAAAAAAAUAAACUAGCUGACUGAUGGGUGCACAUAGUUCCUUCAAAUGUUCUUCUUUUGAAAAAAUAAACGGUGAGUAUAACUGCACGUCAAUUGCACUGCUCCCUGUAACAGUUUCCUUUCUCUUUGCAAUGUUUUGAUGCCAGAGCUGACUGAUGGGUGCACAUAGUUCCUUCAAAUGUUCUUCUUUUGAAAAAAUAAACGAGCUGACUGAUGGGUGCACAUGGUUCCUUCGAAUGUUCUUCCUUUGAAAAAAUAAACGAGCUGACUGAUGGGUGCACAUGGUUCCUUCGAAUGUUCUUCUUUUGAAAAAAUAAACGAGCUGACUGAUGGGUGCACAUGGGUCCUUCGUAUGUUCUUCCUUUGAAAAAAAAUAAACGGGUUUUGAUGCCAGAGGUGAUUGGCGCAUUUUCAUCACUAUGUACAUAAAAAAUAAAUCCCAAUGUGACAAACAUCACAA